AACGCACCUUGCACCCUUUGGUAUUCCGAAGGGUACGCCCGUUUGAGUGUCAUUGUAAUCUCAUCCACAACAUUUUUGUUGUCUGGAUGGAACUGGAUCCUGUCGUGUGAAUGACUGAUCUGAAAGGCAUUGGCGUGGGUCUAUCGUGACGAUAAUCCGAUUGAUAAGUCUUAUCGGGCUCGCUUUGUCGAGGUCGUCUGGUGGAAACUUGUGCCUUGUCCCGAGCGGCCUCUGUGGCUGCCGAAUCUGACAAUUUGACCUCAAAUCGGGUGGGACUACCCGCUGAACUUAA
rnacentral:misc_RNA from 1 species